UACAGAGGUCCCGAGCGUUGUUCGGAUUCACUGGGCGUAAAGGGUGCGUAGGUGGCUACUUUAAGUUUGAUGUGAAAGCUCCGGGCUUAACCCGGAAAUGGCAUUGAAGACUAUUGAGCUAGAGGUUUGGAGGGGGGACUGGAAUGCUUGGUGUAGCAGUGAAAUGCGUAGAUAUCAAGCGGAACACCGGUGGCGAAGGCGAGUCCCUGGACAACACCUGACACUGAGGCACGAAAGCUAGGGGAGCAAACGGG
rnacentral:rRNA from 1 species